GUCCAGACUCCUACGGGAGGCAGCAGUGAGGAAUAUUGGUCAAUGGCCGAAGGGCUGAACCAGCCAAGCCGCGUGAAGGAAUAAGGCCCUACGGGUCGUAAACUUCUUUAGUCAGGGAACAAAGGGAGCCACGCGUGGCGCUGUGAGUGUACCUGAAGAAUAAGCAUCGGCUAACUACGUGCCAGCAGCCGCGGUAAUACGUAGGGGGCAAGCGUUAUCCGGAUUUACUGGGUGUAAAGGGAGCGUAGACGGUGCGCCAAGUCUGGAGUGAAAUGCCGCAGCUUAACUGCGGAACUGCUUUGGAAACUGGCGAACUAGAGUGCGGGAGGGGUAAGCGGAAUUCCUAGUGUAGCGGUGAAAUGCAUAGAUAUCACGCAGAACUCCGAUUGCGAAGGCAGCAUACCGGCGCCCAACUGACGCUGAAGCACGAAAGCGUGGGUAUCGAACAGGAUUAGAUACCCUAGUACU
rnacentral:rRNA from 1 species